UAAUAGCGUAUAUUAAUGUUGUUGCAGUUAAAAGCUCGUAGUUGGAUUUUGGUGUUUGACAAAUGGUCUGCCUUCGGGUUUGCACUGUUUGUUGGCACUUCUUUUCUGGGGAACUCACUGCUCUUAAUUGAGGGGUGCUGUAACGCAGAUCGUUUACUUUGAAAAAUUAGAGUGUUCAAAGCAGGCCAACGCAUUGAAUACAUUAGCAUGGAAUAAUGGAAUAGGACUUUGGUCUUAUUUUGUUGGUUUUCGGAACUUGAGAUAAUGAUUAAGAGGGACAGACGGGGGCAUUCGUAUUGCGGUGUUAGAGGUGAAAUUCUUGGAUCGCCGCAAGACGAACUACUGCGAAAGCAUUUGCCAAGAAUGUUUUCAUUAAUCAAGAACGAAAGUCAGAGGUUCGAAGACGAUUAGAUACCAU
rnacentral:rRNA from 1 species